rnacentral:SRP_RNA from 1 species
GAUACUGGAGGGAGGCGGCGCCCGGGAUCGGAGCCUGAAUAGCGGGAGCGGCGGAAGUGAGCAGUGAGUCCCGGCUUUACAAUGCUCAGAAGCGGGGGCUGGUUGUC